GAUGAAGAACGUAGCGAAAUGCGAUAAGUAAUGUGAAUUGCAGAAUUCAGUGAAUCAUCGAAUCUUUGAACGCACAUUGCGCCCAUUAGUAUUCUAGUGGGCAUGCCUGUUCGAGCGUCAUUUCAACCCUUAAGCCUAGCUUAGUAUUGGGAAUCGACUUUACUGUCGUUCCUCAAAUUCAACGGCGGAUUUAUAGCAAUCUCUGAACGUAGUAAUUUUUUUCCUCGUUUUUGAAAUACUAUAAACCUCAGCAGCUAAACCCCCAAUUUUUUUAUGGUUGACCUCGGAUCAGGUAGGAAUACCCGGUGAACUUAAGCAUAUCAAUAAGCGGAGGA
rnacentral:misc_RNA from 1 species